rnacentral:rRNA from 1 species
UACGUAGGUGGCGAGCGUUGUCCGGAUUUAUUGGGCGUAAAGCGCGCGCAGGCGGUCGCGUAAGUCUGCUGUGAAAUCUCCCUGGCUCAACCGGGAGGGGGCGGCGGAGACUGCGGGACUGGAGGGACCUAGAGGCCGGUGGAAUUCCCGGUGUAGUGGUGAAAUGCGUAGAGAUCGGGAGGAACACCUGUGGCGAAAGCGGCGCACUGGACCACAACUGACGCUGAGGCGCGAAAGCUAGGGGAGCAAACAGG